ensembl:lncRNA
CUAAGUACCGCAGCAAUUUCCUAAUGUUGUAAACCUGCUCAACAUUUGGCAAUAAAACCCUUUCUGAUUCUGAUUCUGAUUGUUUUUCAGGAUACCCUCUUGAUGCCUCUCAGGUGUGGUGUUCCAAAGAGACCCUGAGACAGACUUAGUACAUGCUAAAGUCAGCUUGGGGAUACUUCAUUGUCGCCUUCACAGAACUGGAGGAGGAGGGUGGAGACCAGGAGGUCUGUGGAUCUCUAUUAAGACAGGUAAAAAAGCCAGAUAAGUAGCAGAAAAUGGAUGGGUGGAUAGAUGGAUGAAAAGCUUGACAGUCAUAAUAUUAUCAAGGAGUUGCCUUUAAAUUGUUAAAUGUUUAAUAUUGUCAUGUCUGAUAACAUCAGUGGACCAAAUUAUACAGAAACUGCAACUCAAUCAGAAACACUAAUCAGAUUAACUGUCCAUCAUUUUUUCUGUCUCAAAGUUUUUUUUCUUCCAUCAGAUGUUGUCAUUGGGGACAUAUUCAGACAUAUUUAACUGGCUUCUGUAAUCACACAGAAAUUGGACACAGUAAUGCCUUUAACCAUCCGCCCUCAUUCUUCUCAUCCCCCGAUCUUGUUUUCUAUCAAUUUUUUUUUUUUUUUUUGCAUUCUCUCCCAACAUUUUUCCUUCUCCCGUUUGUUUUCUUAUGAUGUUUCUCAGAUUUUAGUUUUGUUUCUUUUUCCCUAGAACAUUACAGAAGUCAAUUUUGAUUUACUUGACUCAGCAGCUCAGCAGAAUGUUAUGGUCUUUAAAUGCUUCUAAAAAAGAAAAUAACCAUGAUGUUGCGUUUAAGUGCAGAGUAAAGAGUUUAUGUUUUUAAUAUUUAGGUGGUCGUGUCACUUCAGCGAGUACGCACACUGUGCCGCAGACAAUAUCAUCUUUCAUGUUUUAGCUAAAAUAUCCUGCUGUCAUCAAGCUGUAGAUAGGACUUCAUGCAGCAAGUCAAAUUUUAGGUGGGAUUUAUGUGUAUUUUCAUAACAUAUGAAAUAGAUUAUAUAUUAAUGCUAUUGUAUUAUAUAUAUAUAUA